CUGACUGAGCCACCCAGGCGCCUCGACCCCUAUUUAUUUUUUUAAAGUAAUCUCUGCACCCAACGCAAAGGGCUCGAUCUCACCACCCCCAGAUCAUGAGUCGCACACUCUACCACUGACCACGCCAGCUGCCCCAGACCAUCUUUGCAGCGGCGGUCGUCCGCUGAUCUGCUGGCCUCGUCAGCCCUGAAGCACAAUGGAACCUACGUCUUGAAACGCCUGCCGCUGGAGACACAGCUGAGAACGAGACAGCGAAUGCCUGCGGACGUUGACAUUCUGGUGCCGGCUGCGGACAGAACGCGAGGACAGGCAGGGCAGCUGCAGGAAAAAGCACACACCCAGUUAUCCUGCAAGUAUUGUGUGAAACGCUCCAAUCCCAAAAUGAGACAGCACUCUGGGGACAGGAGGAGAUCACCGUGGCUGAGAACCCGGCGCCCAGCGAGCAGAGGCUGCCAGCACACGGGGUGGGGUGGGCCUGCUGUGGCCAUCCAUCAAAUCCUGCCUGGAUGAAGGCAGCACACACCCCUUUGAGACACAGGAAAGCAGUGGGCUCCAGAAGGGGCCUCAAAACUUCUUCCAGGUUCUCUGAACAGCACGAGCAAGCACCCCAGGACCUUUUCCUGAAGGGCCUCCCAGUGCCUGUCAACAUUAAGCACUUACUGUAAGGAGGCCAAAGCAGAGGGACCAUGAACUCCCUGCGGGAAGACAAGGCAGAUGGGGCGGAUCCUGAGCCCGCCCUCCUGGCCUCCACACCCAGUGCUUCCUGCUCCGAUGGUAACCCACAGAACCCCCAUCUUCAAAAGAUACUUUUAGUGGCCCUGGGCGGCUCAGUCGGUCAAGUGUCUGACUUCGGCUCAGGUCAUGAUCUCGUGGU